CUACGGGGUGCAGCAGUGGGGAAUAUUGGGCAAUGGAGGCAACUCUGACCCAGCAACGCCGCGUGAAUGAUGAAGGUCUUCGGAUUGUAAAGUUCUGUGAGGAGGGACGAACAAAUGACGGUACCUCCUGAGGAAGCCACGGCUAACUACGUGCCAGCAGCCGCGGUAAGACGUAGGUGGCAAGCGUUGUCCGGAAUGACUGGGCGUAAAGGGAGCGUAGGCGGUCUGUCAAGUUAGAAGUGAAAUCCCGUGGCUUAACCACGGAACUGCUUUUAAAACUGAUGGACUUGAGUGAUGGAGAGGAAAGCGGAAUUCCUAGUGUAGCGGUGGAAUGCGUAGAUAUUAGGAGGAACACCAGUGGCGAAGGCGGCUUUCUGGACAUUAACUGACGCUGAGGCUCGAAAGCGUGGGGAGCAAACAGGAUUAGAUACCCUGGUAGUC
rnacentral:rRNA from 1 species